CAUAACCAAGUAUAGCAAUAAAUAAUAUAUAAUAAACUUGAAUUUGAUAUACUCUUUUGGUUGCAUUUUUAACUGUAAACAUGGUACACAGUUGAUUAUUGUGUUCGAAUGAAAAGUGGACCUUAAGCUAAGCAGUAUGAAGGAGUUUACAUACACAAAAACGUACUGACUUUGAAAAAAAUUCUCCGUUAUUUUUUAUCAGAACGGUUUCGCAAACCAAAACGAAAUUGUUCUAUAAUUACAGGGUCAACCAGUAAUAUAGUGGUCGGUGUGGUUAUUGCUGUUACAUUGCUUGUGGCUGGAGUACUUGCAGUUAUGAUUAAGAGAAGGAGCAAGCUGAAUGCCUGCUUUAAUAACGCUGCUUCAGAUAUGACUUCAUGCCAGCCAUCCACAGGGGUGUCCACUGUUGUUGGCAAUCAACAACGAGUAGAAUAUGCUAACACAAUAAGUGAUAAUGAAAUGCACGAAAACACUGAAAACAGUAUGGAAGCUACAUCUUACGAAAAACUUACCAUGACUACGGGUGAUGACAAUUACCUCUCAAUCCAAGAAUUCGAUGCAGUCCGGCAAGACUAUCAAAAUACAUGAAUGCAAAGAUGAUGUUUAUUUUGUUUUUGCUUUAUUUAUUAUUUAUUUUUAUCACUUGCAAGGAUUGUAUGUAUAUAUGGUAGAUCGAAAUAUCAUGUUACGUUUCAUGAUUCAACCUAUUUACACAUAUAUUUAUCAGUUAAUUACAAUAGUUUGAUCUAAACUGACUUAAUAGAAUACAUAGUAUACUUACAACUGAAACGUAUCCAUGUAAUUUUCAUCGUAUUUUUAAAAAAACAUAUUAAACAUAUCGUAUGUGUAAAAGUUUGAUAUAACAUGGAAAAUGAUCACAGAAAGCAACAUUUUCACGAGUGGCGAAGGCAUGAGUUUCUACGAUCACGGGUUCAGUAAAUUUUAAUCUUCAUUAAAAUCAAUUACAUUAAACAACAGAAAUUUUCAAAUAAGUUUCUAUAAUAUAAUUAUAGUUAUUUACGAACUUCUUUUUUUUUCUAAUUAUUUAAUCCUAAGUGGGCCAUUAACACACGCUUGUAGUAUACCUCGUUAUAUUUCGUUAUAAACUGAAAUGCUGAUGUACUAAUUGAAAAUAAUAGAUUUCUAUAUUGUUUCAAACUAGCUUACUUUAUAACCGUCCACAUUGCAUUGUAUAACUUGCAUUUUAUGUGUGCCAUGGCACAUUCGGACAGUGUUGUUAAUGCUGAUGCUAGGGGUGGAACAGGUCAAUACGAUGCCCAGCCAGACAGCAGGGUGUUGUGACCCGAUUCCAUUUUGAACAUGUUGACAUUCUGAGGGGUAAAAAUAUCCUAAACUGACUCUAGAUUUGCAUUUGUCAAAAGUGAAAUUCAGAUAGACUUUACGCCACCCGGUAAUAACAAGCAUAUAGUGAACCUUUAUUGAACAUAAACAUAGUAUUAUAGCUGCCCUCGAUAAGUUUGUGUAAAAAUUAAUUCGUUUUCCUCACCGCUGGUGCGACGUUAUAUCCAUAUUCCUUGCAUUUAUUGAUCGUAAGUUUUUUAUACGCGCACAAUUACAGCCAUUUUGUUAUGCAACUUUCGCUGUUUAAGGUAUACAUCUAUUAUGCAUUUUACAAACCAUCCAUUUUGAUUAAAAUGAUAUACAGCAUUUGCAGAACAACCAUUUAUUUAGGAUAUCAAGGACAGAUAACAAUAUUGACAAAGUAGGGUGACUACUGUGUGUUAUCUCGCUUGGAUUGCCAUACCAGAACAAUAUUAAAUCGCGUUAUACUGCAUGAACAAGCAUCGCAAGAUUCAUGAUUAAUAUAACAAAUAUGUUACAUUAUAUUUAAUAAAUAAUGAACACUGUUUUAACAGAACGUGGUUACCUCCGAAGGACGUAGUUUUUAGUGACCCUAAAUACAUAUUAUGAUUUGAAUGCAUGUUUAUUACUGUAUGUAUAAUUGUACUCAUUUCGAGUUUUGUUUCGCCUAAAAUCAUUAAACUUUAAACUUUA